AAGUAUUGUUUGUUUUGACUCUACUAAGCCUUUUCCUAACGUGUUUGUGAGAACCAGUUAUUACCUUCAGUCCUAGUUUUGAUUCACGUGCCUAACUGUGUAUGAUCAUUGCCUGCCUGUGACCACGAUUCCUGCCUUCUGUAAAGGUGAAAUAAACACCUGCCGCGCUCUGUGCUGGUAUAUACACCUUUUUCUCCCUGAGUAUUCACUACAGAAUACCUCACCUAAAAUGGAAUGGAUUCAGCGGAGCUACAACAGCGCCUAACCCAACAAGAGGAGCGUAUGACAGGCAAAGCCCUGGAUUGGGCCUUCUUCAUACGGACUGCCAAAAGCACAACUCUGCUCCAAGACCUAUUUCCACACCCUCUUCAAAGAGGUAUUUGAUCCCUCUCCUUCCGGUCGUCCUAUAGGAGACCUCCUCAUAGAACUUCAACAAAGACGGUAUGCUCUCGCGUUCCGCACCAUGGCUGCAGGGAGUGGAUGGACUGAGGCUGCUUUACUUACUGUCUACCGAAGAGGGCUUAACACGGAACUUCAGGCAGUGCUGGCCUGUAGAGGUGACCUUCAGGAUUUAAAUACAUUCGUAUCUCCAUCGACCACCUCAUCGCCGACUGCCGAAGAACUCUGCCACCCAGGAACCCGACACCUUCUCUUUCCAUGAUUCCAUCAUCUGAGUAUUCCAGAGCCCAUGCAGUUGGGCCAUGAUAAACUUUCCCUGAAUGACGUCACGGUCCAACCGUGUCCCUCAUCCUCUGAUCCCAGCGACCAGUGGGCCUGCCCCAACAUCUAUACAAAACUCGACCUGCGAGGUUCAUAUAACCUUGUCCGUAUAUGUGAAGGCAACAAAUGGAAGACUGCCUUCAUCACCGCACUACAAAUACCUGGUCAUACACUACGGCCUUACUAACACCCCCGCCGUCUUCCAAUCCUUUAUGAACAAGGUUUUCCAGGAUAUGAUCAACCGCUUUCUCAUCGUCUACAUUGAUGACAUCCUGAUUUAAUCCCUGAAGGAACACAUGUGCAAAAGGUUCUUCAAUGGCUCCUUGACCAUGUUUUGUGUUCGUGAACGUAGCCUGUCUUUCAUUUUUGUUCAUUGAUUUCACCUGUUACUCACCUGGUCUCAUCAGCUCCUUAAGUUCAGUUCAUUCUGUUUCUGCCUUCGUGAAGUAUUGUUUGUUUUGCUUCUACUAAGCCUUUUUUCUAGCUAAUUUGUGAGAACCAGUUACAGCCUUUAGUCCUAGUUGAUUCACCUACCUGUGUAUGACCAUUGCCUACCUGUGUAUGACCAUUGCCUACCUGUGUAUGACCAUUGCCUACCUGUGUAUGACCAUUGCCUACCUGUGUAUGACCAUUGCCUACCUGUGUAUGACCAUUGCCUACCUGUGUAUGACCGUUGACUGCCUGUGUAUGACCGUUGCCUGCCUGUGUAUGACCAUUGCCUGCCUGUGACCACAAUUCAUGCCUUCUGCAGAGGCGAAAUAAACACCUGCAUUGCUCUGCGGGUGAAUCUACA